rnacentral:rRNA from 1 species
GACGAACGCUGGCGGCGUGCUUAACACAUGCAAGUCGAACGGAAAGGCCCUGCUUUUGUGGGGUGCUCGAGUGGCGAACGGGUGAGUAACACGUGAGUAACCUGCCCUUGACUUUGGGAUAACUUCAGGAAACUGGGGCUCAUACCGGAUAGGAGCUCCUGCUGCAUGGUGGGGGUUGGAAAGUUUCGGCGGUUGGGGAUGGACUCGCGGCUUAUCAGCUUGUUGGUGGGGUAGUGGCUUACCAAGGCUUUGACGGGUAGCCGGCCUGAGAGGGUGACCGGCCACAUUGGGACUGAGAUACGGCGCAGACUCCUACGGGAGGCAGCAGGGGGGAAUAUUGCACAAUGGGCGGAAGCCUGAUGCAGCAACGCCGCGUGCGGGAUGACGGCCUUCGGGUUGUAAACCGCUUUCGCCUGUGACGAAGCGUGAGUGACGGUAAUGGGUAAAGAAGCACCGGCUAACUACGUG